AGAGUUUGCGCUUUGGUUGUUGACAAAGCAAAGGCAGAAGAGCAUAUGAAACAUAAAUUGAAAUCGCGCCUCUAUAAACUACUCAACGUGUUACAACUUAUACACUUUCGGGGGCGAAAAUGUUUUUCAUGUCAGGACAGUCUAACAAAACUCAGCUCAGUUACCUUUACAAAUCUGAGUAGGCAGGACGUCUGAUCAUUGUUUUAUCAUCGCCACAGCACAUGUAACAUUAGUGACACGUCAUUUACCCGCCAAAUUUGAUUAUCACUAUUAUUUUAUCGAAAAUAUAUGUGAUAAAGAAAAGAGUGGUUACAAUUUGAAUAUUUCAAUAUAAAAAAAACUGUUGUUUUUUCAUAAUGAACUAAAUAGGACACUAGCUGCUACAGGUAUAUCCCAAUCUACUUAUCAAAAAAUUAGUAAACAAGCUCAAAAAGUUGAAUGGGGUGGGCCAAGGUCGUCUUUUAAAUUGCCGAAGAAGAAUCGUCUUAUUUCUCUUGAUAAAAUUAAGACAAUUCGAGAAAUUAUCUAUAACUUCUAUUUGCUAGAGAAGAAAAUUCCUACUUUAAAAUAUAAGAAAUUCUUAUUAAUUAAUAAUAAGAUGUAAACUCAAACGGAUUUAUAGAGAACAGGCUGCUAAUAUUUAACUCAGGUAAAAAGACCAGGGACUAUCACCAUCAAAACUUUAUGCAAUUGGUUGAAAACCAAUUGUUGCCAAAUUUGCCUGAAAGGUGCUUUCUUGUAGUCGACAAUGCAGCAUAUGACAAAAAAUAUUACAAGGGCUUCAAUGAAACAUGACAUGUUAUAGAUAGACAUUAUAAAUUGGUUCGUUAUUACCCUGAUUAGUAUGUAACUAACGAUACUCUAUAUUGUUAUGUUAGUUGCAUAUAUGAUCUUGUGUGUUUCAUUUAAAUAUGCUCUGUUAUACUGGUUACAUACCUAUGGUCAUUAUGCAUACUUGUUAAUAAUAAUUUAUCAUUACAUAAUGAUUAGUAUGCAACCAGUAAAACACUUUAUACUUUAUGGAUAAGUUGACUAUCAUAGUCAAAAUCAUUUAAUUAUUAUCAAAUCAUUAUAAAUUUUAAUCGAGUGAAAAAAUACUUUUUUGUUGAAAAAUCGAUUUAAAUAUUCAUUUUUGCUAUCUUUUGAUUGUACAGGUUUUCCCUGUAAAAGUUACUGAUUGUUAACCAUUGGGCAUGAGUCGCCUCCGGUUUUCAGAUAGUAGUGUAAAAUUAUUUAUUCCGUCAAACACACUAAAUCGAUAUACGUAAUCAUCCAUCAAAAAUUCAUAAUGUUUGAAUGUAUAAAUUAGAAAUUAUACCCAAAACUUUGGAUAAUUGUAUCGUUUAACCCCCACAGCUCCGAGGACCUUGAAAAUUUAGUAUGUUGUACAGUUUUUUAUGGUGAAUACAAAAUUCUAAACCAGUGUUCAAAUUUGGACUAAUUUUUACACACUAGUCGUUGUGAUGCUAUUUCUGCCAGACUCUCCAGUACUAUGUGCAAGCCAGUCUUUGUACCUUUGAGAGAUUGUUCCCCGUGGUAUUCACACUAGUUCUAGUACCCCAAACCCCCUAUGUGAUGAUUGGUCUCAUAAUUGCCAUGUACAUCCACAGUAGAAUCGUUGGGUUACAACUCCAAUUCCUCCCUGUAAAGUUUCUGUACACCAUCAGGGCUUUUUUUAUUUAUAACACUUGGUAACAAUUUUCACCAUAUUACUAGUGGACUACUACAAAAAGGGUCAAGUUUCUGGUACUUAUGGGUAGUUAAGCGAACUUUGAAAUGGAACAAUAAGCAAACCCUUUUUAGUUAAUAUUUGUACGAAAUAUAGAGGAUGGUACGUUUUCUUGUUAUUUUUUCGGAGAUAUUUCCUAUGUGAAAAUUACAAAGUAGAUAAUGCAUUUAUAUAUUGAUUGUGAGAACGAUUUGAAUCUCAAUUAUUGAUAAUUAAAUAUGUUAUUUAUGAAUAAACUUUUUUCAAAAUA